UAGGGAAUCUUCCACAAUGGACGAAAGUCUGAUGGAGCAACGCCGCGUGAGUGAAGAAGGUUUUCGGAUCGUAAAGCUCUGUUGUUGGUGAAGAAGGAUAGAGGCAGUAACUGGUCUUUAUUUGACGGUAAUCAACCAGAAAGUCACGGCUAACUACGUGCCAGCAGCCGCGGUAAUACGUAGGUGGCAAGCGUUGUCCGGAUUUAUUGGGCGUAAAGCGAGCGCAGGCGGAAUGAUAAGUCUGAUGUGAAAGCCCACGGCUCAACCGUGGAACUGCAUCGGAAACUGUCAUUCUUGAGUGCAGAAGAGGAGAGUGGAACUCCAUGUGUAGCGGUGGAAUGCGUAGAUAUAUGGAAGAACACCAGUGGCGAAGGCGGCUCUCUGGUCUGCAACUGACGCUGAGGCUCGAAAGCAUGGGUAGCGAACAGGAUUAGAUACCCUGGUAGUCCAUGCCGUAAACGAUGAGCGCUAGGUGUUGGGGCA
rnacentral:rRNA from 1 species